GGCUAUGAUAAGAGUAAUUCUACCGUAUUGAAGAUGUACACGCGUGUAAUAAUCACACUGCCUACGUUGAUAUUUUACAUCUACAAUCGAUCAAUUAUCUAUUUAUACUCAAACUUCCGGUGCAGACGAUUGUUUGUUUGGUUAUCUACAAAUGUUGUUCUCAAAUCAAACUUUGCACUGUAUAUAUAUAUACAUAGAUUGUUUCAACAA